AUUGAACGCUGGCGGCAGGCCUAACACAUGCAAGUCGAACGGUAGCACAGAGGAGCUUGCUCCUUGGGUGACGAGUGGCGGACGGGUGAGUAAUGUCUGGGAAACUGCCCGAUGGAGGGGGAUAACUACUGGAAACGGUAGCUAAUACCGCAUAACGUCGCAAGACCAAAGAGGGGGACCUUCGGGCCUCUUGCCAUCGGAUGUGCCCAGAUGGGAUUAGCUAGUAGGUGGGGUAACGGCUCACCUAGGCGACGAUCCCUAGCGGGUCUGAGAGGAUGACCAGCCACACUGGAACUGAGACACGGUCCAAACUCCUACGGGAGGCAGCAGUGGGGAAUAUUGCACAAUGGGCGCAAGCCUGAUGCAGCCAUGCCGCGUGUAUGAAGAAGGCCUUCGGGUUGUAAAGUACUUUCAGCGAGGAGGAAGGCGUUGUGGUUAAUAACCGCAACGAUUGACGUUACUCGCAGAAGAAGCACCGGCUAACUCCGUGCCAGCAGCCGCCGUAA
rnacentral:rRNA from 1 species